AAGUCGUAACAAGGUUUCCGUAGGUGAACCUGCGGAAGGAUCAUUAACACGUAUCCAACGUUAAACCCCCCGUGAACCAUUGUGGCACGCCUAUCCGUUAGAAAGUGGCAAUCCCUGGUAAAUCAUCGCCGAACAGUUUUGAUUCAGGCGAGCAAGUGACCUGGCACCCUCUGCUUGUUAGUGUCUGAAAGUGUCACUAGCUCUGUACGGGUGGCGCAAUCACGAUCGCUAGAGGCCAACACGGCCGGCGACCGGGUCAAUGGGCCCUCGCCUUUGCAUGAAAACGGGCCUGCGCUUAAUUGUGCGGCCACCAAACUCGAACAACUGUUAACAAUGGAUAUCUUGGUUCUC
rnacentral:misc_RNA from 1 species